UUAACAUAAGAUACAAUAAUUCCUUAUUACUUAGGACUUUUAUUAUAUAUUUAUUAAAAAUAUCCUUCUAGACUGAAUGAGACAGGACAAUUUAUUAUACAUCACAUUUGAGAAUGCAAACCAAAAGAAUUUAUGUUAAAGAACAUAAUUAUGAGCUUCAUUAGAUUGGAGUGCUACUUCUAAGUUACUUCUAUUCAGCCACCAAUAGCUGCUUGUUUCACAUGGUAUGUCCCUGUGUCAAUAAAAUCUUUAAUGGUUCAAAAUUCAAGAGAAUUUCCCACAGAAUUUGUAAUUCAUUGGUAUCUAAAUCUCCUGAGACUUGAUACUAUUUCACAAAGCUAGCCUACUUGUUUCCCUUCUGUUUAGGUCUGAGUGCUAAACCUUUAUUUUGAUCAACUCUGUUUUUACCUCACUACCACGGUCACAGACUUUGAUCCAAAACAUUGCAGGUUUUUCUGUGAUGUUUAAUAGUUUGGGGUUUUUUUUCUUAUUUUAGUUUAUAGAAAAUACCAUGUAAUAAGUUCUAUCAUCACAUCUUGACCACUUAAAAUGUUACCAAUUCAGUGUUUAAGAGAUGUUAGGAAGUAGAAACAUGGAAUUUGUAUUAUCGAGCCUACUAUUUAUUUCACCACGGAAUUAUGUGGAAAGUAGUUAAGGGAAACCUGAUUCUAACCAGACAAGGUUCCUGUUCUCCCCGCUAGCCCGUUCACCUUACUGGUAGUGGCUCCUCACAGCAUUUGGGUGCACGCAUUGGGUGCAUGGUAACAAUACCGGACAUCUUUCUCGCUCAUUCACUCACUCAUUCCGACCUUCACUCAUUCAUUCACUUGUUCAAUAUUGAUGAGGUGUAAUCUGUGCCAGAAUCUAUUUUAGAUAUUGCAACUGGAACUGAGUGAGGCAGAUAAAACCACCGAUGGGCUCACUUCAGGUUUCUCCAGAGCAGAGAGGUUGGAGGCCAAAUAAGAACUUGUUUACCCCCACCAACUUUUCAUGUCUUGCUACCUGCUAUACCGUCUACAUGAACACAUUAUAGUCAUCUUUAUAAUAAUCCCCUUCUUAGCCAAUUUCAGAGCUAAGGCUGGUGUAUCAAUGUUCCUUAUUACUAAUACAUUACUAUUUCUUUUACAUGUCAAUCAUGUUACUAUGCGCUUUGUAUAUUUAGAUGCUCCAAUUAUAGGUCCACAAAUAUUUAUGAAUGCUACAUCUCUUGACGAUUAUUUCAUGGCUUUGUCUCUUGUAGCCAUUUUUGACUUAAAGUCAGAUUGGUCUCUGUCUCUUUGGGCAACACAUGAGAGACAGUAAUGGAAAAGCAGAGGCGAAACUACUUGCAGAGGUAGGGACUACUUGCCUGUCCUAAAGAGUGCAUAUGACCUGGAGACUCACUGGCAGCUCAAACACAGACAGAUGGUUUCCUUCAUUGAGUCCUGUUUUUCAUGUUCAAUUAUAGACUACAGUCAGUAAAGAGCAUAAAAUAUUACAUUUAUUGCACUCUGCUGGGCUUUUGUAUAGAACCCAUAUAUAAUUAUAUAAAAUUCAAAUUUCAAGCUCCAUAAAUAAAGUUUUAUGGGAAAAUGCAAAGCUUGAAACAUUUACUACCUGGCUCUCUACAGAAAAAAAAAAUUGUCAGGGCCUAACUUGUAGCAUUUAUAUGAAUAUAGCCCAAAUUAUUCAAAACCUGUACCAGAGCAUUUUAAACAAGUGCCUGCAAAUUACGAAGUCUUUGUCAACACUGACAGCCAAGUGUGCAUACACUUGAGAUGUCUCCCUAGGAGUGGCUUAGCACCUCAACACCAUGCAAGCUUGGUCCUUCCACAUCACUCCCUAAGCUGGAAGAAUGAAAGACAACGGCUCCCUCUGAUGCUACUUUCCAUGCUCAGCUUUCCAUAGCAGCCUGCUCAGGGCCUCCAGCAUCUCAGGACAUAUUGGUAUCAGGUGCCCAUACAAGUAACUGUGCUCUGAAGUGUGCUGUCUUUCUUUGAACUGCCUUUGUUAGUCAAGACCUUUCUUGUUCUCUCUUAGAAUAGCAUCUUAAAUUUCCUUUGAGCAUUUUUUUUUUUUGCCACUAUACAUACAAAGGGAUUCCACCUACUUCCACUGAACUGGUUUUGCUUUCUCUAAGCCUGACUAAAAUAAGACUUUGACUGGAUUUCUGAACUAAAGGCCUUAGUUAGCCAUAUGUAUGGAGAGGUCAGCCAUUAGAGUCAUAGUCCCAGUGCAGGACAUUCAAUAAUAUAAGUGGGCGAGGCAGACGGAGAGUGUAAUAAUGUGGAUGUGAAAACAAAUACUGUCAUUUUAUAAGUUUGGCUACAAAUUCUAAAAUAUUGUCCACUCUCAAUUUAAUAUGUCCCUGUUCACAGUUUGAAAAAGAUAGCCUUAAAUUCAGAUGUCGGUUGGAGUUAGAAGCGCAACAUUUAUUUAAAUAGAAGUUGUUGGUCAUUAAGUAUAGAAACAGCCACAAAACACUAAGUAUCUUGGACAGAUUAUUUAUUGCACAUGGCUUUAGAAAACAUAAUGAUUUCACUUGAGUCAGAUGUAGGGCCCUCCAAAUCUCGUGGAUUGUACAAAAGGUACCAUCCUGAUUUGAAAUUCAAAUGUAAGUGCUACUUUUCUCUGAGUUUCAGGAGGAAACUCACUUUCUUUCCAUUACCAUUUAUACAUCAGGUGCCUGCAUUUCAGCGUGCAGUGGAGAGAGCAGGUGGUACAGGGAGCACUUUGAAUGUUAAUUAUUUUUUUCAUUUAUUUCACUGUGAAGAUUUGUUUUUAUAAUCAAGAUGGAAACAAUUAGAGAUCUUGCCGCCUGAGUGUUUCACUACAUUUGUUUUAUGACAUCUGCUUCAAUGAUAAGAAAAGAAAGAAAGAAAGAAAGAGAGAGAGAGAGAGAGAGAGAGAGAGAGAGAGAGGAAGGAAGGAAGGAAGGAAGGAAGGAAGGAAGGAAGGAAGGAAGGAAGGGGGUUGGGGAUUUAGCUCAGUGGUAGAGCGCUUGCCUAGCAAGCACAAGGCCCUGGGUUCGGUCCCCCCCCCCCAAAAAAAAAGGAAAGAAGGAAGAAAAGGGAGGUGAAUCCUUUAACAAUAGGAAGGGUUCAGGUUGACUGUGUGUGGUUGUCUUGUUUCAACGUGAACUGCUGGGGUGAACAGUCCACUGUCUAAUGAUAAACAUGCUCGUGUUAGAACUUAUAUUUUAUUUUAGAAGCAACUCAAUAAAUUUUCAGGUUUGGUAUAGUUCAUUUGCCCCAAUUUUAAUUGAAGUUAUAUUGAAAACAACUGUAGAGAGAUAAAAAAAAAUGGAGGAAGCUAUAUGAUGGGGGGUGUUGUUGUUUUCUCUCCCUCUCUCUAACAGAAUCUCUGUGUAGCCCAAGUUGGUCUCAACUCCUCAAACUGUGGGAGUCAAAGACAGGUUCUACUGUGCUUAGCUUUGUCUAUCUUUUUCCUUAGAGACAUAUUUCACAAAAUUUUGUUUUUGACUUUUAACAUUUAGUUUGCUCCUUAAGUGUUAAUCAUAUUUAAACUUUUCAUGGGUUAUAUAGUUAUAAGAACAGUCCCUCAAACCUGGGUAUGAUAGUACACAUCUUUAAUCCCAGCACUUGGGAGGAAGAGGCAGGUGGAUCUCUGUGAGUUCCUCUACAAAGCACUUGCAGGUCAAUCAGGGCUACAUAAUGAGACCUUGUCUAAAAAAAGAAGAAAAAGUUCAAGAAACAUUCAGGAAUUUGUGGUUCAUCAUAUUUUUUUUAAUUAAUCUACAAUUCAAAGUUUAGGGAGGACUUAUCAAAGGUAUAGUCAAUAUUUCACAUUCUGCCACAUUUCUCUUAUUCAUCCAAUGAACAAAAUACUGUAGAAACCAUUAUACAAUUAUUAAACAAAUUUUUCAAAAAAUCGAGUAAUUAAGAGUACCCUUAAGAGUAUAUGAAAGAAUAUUUUAUCUGCCAAACUCUUGCCUUUUGAAGCGCUAACCAGUAAUUAGACUUUAAGAUUGCUUGACAGUACAGAAAGCUAUCCAAAAUAUAUCUUCCUACUUUAUCACAAUGGAUAGAGUUGACUCAUGAAGAAAAUGUGGGGUAGAGGGAAACACUGAGGAUUCCCAUAAGGAAACCAAAUAAUGGCACUCAGAAGACAUCCAAGCCCUAACACCUGGAACUUGUGACUGUGCUAUACAUUUCCAGGUGCAGUAAUGUUAGCAGUCUUGAGCUGGGCAGAACCUGGUCUGCCUUGGUGAACUCAACAGAAUCACAAGCUUGUGAGAGAGAAGUAGGAGAGAGUCUGAGUAAGGGGAGAAACUACGUGGAUGGAACCUCAGGGGGUUGAGGCUGGUAGCUUUAAAGAUGGAGCGAGGGGGUCAUGAAACAAGAUGUAUAAAUGGCUUCUAUGUACCCGAUCAGGUUAGGAAAUAAGAUCUUUCCUAAAGCCCCCAACACCUUGAAUUUAGCUCUGCAAGACCCGUUUCAAACUCUGGCCUCCUUUAGACCUGUGGUAAAUUGCGGGAAUAAGAGAGUGCAACUGCUAUCUCUCACUGUAGUUUCUCCUAAAUAAAAAGGCCGGGUUGUCUAAAUUGUUAAUUAACUACUAAGAAUUAAUAGAUUCUUCCAGAAAAGUAGUGACCUGUAAGUCUUUAUUUUACUUGGGAAACUGUAAUAUUAAUAUUGUUAAUAAUAUUAUUUUAAUAUUUUAAAUUAAGCAGUGUAUUUAGUAUUAUAACCUUGCUUCUCAAUAUUAGUAUCUGCUGGUUGGAAGGGAUAGCUGAAGUCCAUUUAUUCACUGCAGUCACAAUAAAUGCUAGGAGAAUAUGGAGGAGGAGAAAGACGAAGAAGAAGAAGAGAAAGAAGAGGAGGAAGAGGGGGAGAAAGAAGAAGAGGAGGAGGAAGAGAAAGAGGAGAAGAGGAUGGAGAGGAGGAAAAAGUGGAAGAAGAGGAGGAGGAAGAAGGGGAAGAAGAAGAGGAGGAAGAGAAGGAAAGGCAUUAGAGAAAUUUCAGAAGGCAUGAAAAUAGCAAAAUACAGGAAGGAACAGGAUUGUUUUGGUUGAGAAUAAUAAUGCAUGAAUUUGAUGCUCUUAGAAAUGGGGAACAUACUAACUUAUACUUUCCAAACUCUGUACUUUGUCCCUUGCAGACUUCCUAGUAAUACAAAGCAGGAGUGGAGAGGUGGCCUUCCUUGCUUUCUCAUACAUUAAUGCUACAAUAGCAAUAAGAAUAGCUAGUACAGGGGCUGGAGAGACAGCUCAGCGGUUAAGAGCACUGACUGCUCUUCCAGAGGUCCUGAGUUCGAUUCCCAGCAACCACAUGGUGGCUCACAAACCAUCUGUCAUGGAUCCAAUGCCAUCUUCUGGUGUGCCUGAAAACAGCUACAGUGUACUCACAUACAUAAAAUAAAUAAAUCUUUUAAAAAAAAAAAAGAAUAGCUAGUACAUUCUAUCAGUGUGACAUCUCAAAUAUAGAAGUACAAAAGAAUGCUAGUUGCAGUGUAGAUUUAUAGGCAUUGCUUCCGGGGUUCCAAUAUCACAGGUCUCAGUGGACUUUGGCAUCAACUCUUAAGACACCAUGAGAAAACUGGUGGUCUUGUCUGGGCUUAAAAUUAGCGCUGCUACUCUAGUACUUUGCAUCAAAAUCCAGAACAACGACUAAAGAAAACAUAUCCAGCGUAUUUAUACUCUCUCUACUUUCAUCUCUUGAUUGGUGGGUGAGCUUUUGGACAAAACCGAGAUUGAUGGAGGGGAGAAUCACAAAGUAGCCCCCUCAGUCACUCAGGUUGCACUUCCAACAUUGUUCAACAAACACACAAAUAUGGGUCCAGCAUUCAUUUGUACAAGACACCCAGCGUAAAGAAGGUGGAAAAUCGACAUAAGGACAGAUAUACAAGAAGUCAAAGAAGGGGAAACAUCUGUCAACCGUAGCUCUCAACAUGUGCCUCAGGAAUCAGCAAAUCAUAGCAUCCGCAGUGUCUGGGACUCACUGGAAAUGCAAAUUCCUCAUCUGUACCCCAAGUAGAUUCCUUCUGUAACCAUGGCUUGUGGUUUUGUUUCGGAGGCCAUUAAGAUGUCACUAAACCUUGUAUGCAUGUCCAAAAUUAUAUCUGGGAAAUUAUAUUUCCAUACCCUGUAGACAAGACAGUAAAAGCAGAAAACGCGAAAAGCUGAGGCAUGAGGCUCGUAGUCCAUACUUUCCUGGCAACAGGAAUUCCAAUUCCCGCAGAUGAGUCCCCGCAUUAAGAAGCAAAGCUUCCGGGGCUGGGGAUUUAGCUCAGUGGUAGAGCGCUUACCUAGGAAGCUCAAGGCCCUGGGUUCGGUCCCCAGCUCCGAAAAAAAAGAACCAAAAAAAAAAAAAAAAAAAAGAAGCAAAACUUCCAGCUGAGUUGAUCCAGAUCACCAGAAGCAUUAAGCAUAGGCAGACUGGGACUUAUCCCUCCAGUUUCUGAGUUAAUCAAUCUGGAAAAGGAGGCUGGACAAGAGUUGUAUAUUUACAGCAAGAUUCUGGGUAAUUCUGAUGCGAGAAUCACACCUAUAGACUUGUAAAAGCCUUGGUGAGUCCUCCAAGCCAGCUGACUCACACACCAGGCACUACGAAUGCAAACGCUCAUGUAGCAUCCCUGUGGACUCCCAGGACCUGCAGGUAGGGCCAAAUGUUUACUUAGGUCCAUAAACCUACCACUUAGUUAUUCUGUAUCUAAAAGAAACUAAAAGACAGGAACCCACAGAGGAAAAAUGCAGUCUAAUUUCCAGACCCAAGUCUCCCAAUGCCUGGGGGCUUCUGAUAAUUUCAGAAAAAUCCAGGAGACAAAGGCCAAAUCGUGUAUAUGUCUAACCAUCAAUGGGCCAAUCAGUCCUUUCUUUGGAUGACAGAGAAUCUGAGUUAUUGCCACUGUGCUACUAGUUUUUCAUUCUAUUCUGGGAUGAGAAAAAUUGGAUCCUAAAAAAAUCCCAACAUUUGGAUGAAAAAAAUAAUCUGGGGAGAUAGGGAUCCGGGUAUGAUAUCCUUACCCAUUCUGGACCUAGCAGAAUUCUUUUUCCUAAGUCCAUUCUUUUGAUGUAACUGAGAAACAGUUUACAGUCUGAUCCCUGAGUAGGGAGGAAAUAGAAGAGUCUUUCCUCAAGAUUUCUCCUCUCUCAUCAGGACUUAAGCAUGAGAAAAAGACCACAGAACAUACAAGGUCACUAAAUCCCAACCUUCUAUUCCACAUGUGUCCUCUGUUGCCAAGCACAAAAUGUAUUCUACACCAACAGGAAACAAAAGAGGAAACGGACCAUACCAAAAUACCCAGUGAGGACACAGGAGAAGGAUACUGUUUAUUUGCAGCUCUGGGGUGUUUUAAUCCAUACACAUAUGAAUUGUGUAUUCAGAAAGCCUGGUGACACCAAAGCUCUUCUUCUCUGGCCUCACUAAGCAGAGAUUAAGCAAUGGAAGACAAGAUGAGUUGAAUCCACAUUAUUCUGGUAGCUUUGCUCGUGUUCAUACAUAGGAGGAUAAGGGAGUCACAAGAACAAAAGUGGUGUUUCAUUUACAAGCGUUUUAAAAGAAUAAAUAAAUUAGAAUUGGGGACAUACGGUGCUCAACUUGCAGGAGUUAUCCUAUUCAAAAUAAAACAGGUUUCUGUCUAAGCCGUUCUCUUUGAGUCAGUUUGUCUUCCAAAACCGAACGUUUUUCUCGGCUGAAUUUUGAGGGGAUUAGUUAUUUUUAAAAAGAAAAAAAGAAAAGAAAAACCAACUCAAAAGCCGAAGUGCAAGUGUGCUUAGAGAGACACACAUAAGCUGUUCUCCAUAUUGAGUCAACACCUGGGGCAUUGAUUUGAAAGCCAAAUGCAGGCUGUUCACCUGCACUGCCAAGGAUAACAGAAGCAACUGUCUCACUGUCACCAGAGAGAAAGAACCACGUCACUGGGGCUCCAUCUGCAACCGCCUUUGAGGACCAAAGAUAACCAGGGAGGAAGGGGGUGGGGGGGCCGCUUUGUUGUGAAACCUGAAUUUCAACUUAAGAGUCUUCUUCUUUUUACAGAACACCUUUUCUAAUUUAAAGUGAUGCAGGGAUCUAGAGAUUCACCAAUUCUGAAGAUUGGGCAGACACAUGGACUGCAGCUGCAGAGGACCUCACCAUCAGAACGAGGAAGUCUCCUUUGAAAACUGGACUGUGCCUGUGGAGUGCGAUGGGAAGCCAGCCGGCUUGCCGGGCAGACUCCUAAGACUGAGCGAUUAAUUUACUGCUAUCGCCAACAUAUGACAAGGUCUGAAGCAAAAACUGACUUGCAGGAAGAUGAAGACAGGAAGAAUGUUUUCAGAGGGUGUAACAAAUAGAAACGUAAUCUUUUAUGGAGGGUUUUUAUAAGUGUUUUGCAUUGAAGGAUGGCCAGGAUUAGAGAAUGAUGAGACUCCCCUCGAGUUGCUAGACAAGUCACUCUGAGUCCCAGGAAAACAGAUUGUCACAGGAUGAAUAAGACGGAGAGUGGAGAAGUCACUGCCCACACAGCCUUCACUACAUAGCAGCAGUGAUGCAGGAGGAUGAUGAGUGAAUGGAUGCUGCAGUGUCCCCAAAAUGUACAGAGAGUAUCUCUGCGAAGUCACACAGGACAGUGUGACCAUUGUCACAGUGCUCAGAACUGGUUUGCUGUACUUUUUCCAAACAGCUGUGCUUAAUCAAAGAACUUUUGGGACCAGUCACUUGCGCUGUGAAAUUUUCUAGAAUGCUUUCACUAUUGUAAAGUUUCAAAAACUCAGGUGUGAAAAGUAAAAUUUCCCUGGCCAGGGUCCUACAUCUCCACUCGUGGGCUGAGGAUCGAGGCACAUUGUGUAAAUUUCCACAGUCUUUGUCCCUUGGCCCAACAUGUUUCCCCCUUUCUCUGAGAUGCUACCCUAGGUGUCCAGUGCACUUUAACUCAGCCCCUUUCAGAGAGGCUCAGGAGUCGGGACUGCCUAGUUCCACACCACACCCUCUGAAGCCCCAGGUCCUAUGAUUUUCCUUUCAGAUUUUCAAUACAUACGGCAUCUACCGAGGGAUGUGUGCAAUGGAGACCCCAUUGCUGUUCAGAGUGGCUCUUCCAGCCUCAGAAGAUGCUCAGUAUUCAUCAGGAAGCUCAGCCUCUUUCCAGAAACAUCUGCUGAUUCACCUCAGUACUUCUGUGCAGAGAAGACUAAAACAAACCUGGACACGUAGCAAAAGUCUCUGAAAACCUCAUCUUCCUGUCAGGCACUUAAUUCAUUUCUGCUUAUUCCACACAGCUCUAACACUGUAUGGUCCUCAAACUUUGAUGUUCUCACCUGUCUCCUUUCCUGUGCAAGCCAGAUUUGCUAACUUCUCUCUCCGAACAAGCUAAGAAACUGUAUACAUAGUCAAACUUA